rnacentral:lncRNA from 1 species
AAGAAACUAUGAAUGAAUGGAGUUGUUGGGGUUUACAAUUUCAUCUUAUCCACCCUCUUAUAUAUACUUUUCUUAUCUUAUUUGCUUAUUUAUCAUAUUGUCAUGCAAACUUUCUUGGUCUACCCUUAACCCAAUUCCUUGGCGAAAAGAGCCUAUUACUAAUUACCGGCUUGCUAUACCUAGCCUCCCCUAGUAACUAAUAAUGCAUGAUAAACAAAAGAAAAAUACAAUUGAUCGUCCUACCCCUUUCCUAGGCGGUAUUAGCAUAAUCAAAGAAUUCC